UACGAAGGGGGCUAGCGUUGCUCGGAAUCACUGGGCGUAAAGGGUGCGUAGGCGGGUUUUAAGUCAGGGGUGAAAUCCUGGAGCUCAACUCCAGAACUGCCUUUGAUACUGAAGAUCUUGAGUUCGGGAGAGGUGAGUGGAACUGCGAGUGUAGAGGUGAAAUUCGUAGAUAUUCGCAAGAACACCAGUGGCGAAGGCGGCUCACUGGCCCGAUACUGACGCUGAGGCACGAAAGCGUGGGGAGCAAACAGG
rnacentral:rRNA from 1 species